rnacentral:sRNA from 1 species
AAAAAAAGUAUUCUAAGCGCGUUGAUUAUUAAGUGAUUUAAAAAUGGCCGAUUCAACACCCUAUAAAUUAGAUAACAUGCUUUUGGCUGUGUCUGUUUCGAUCAACUUAUGUGUGUACUUUGUCGUAUAUGCAAUGUAUUCCCAGAUAGAUCUCGCUUCGGCCAUAUUUUUGUUAUCCACUCUCGUGAUUCUUGAAGACGUCCGUAUACACUAUGUAGAUGUCAAAGAAGAUACUGAUAAGUUCCUAACUGUCCUUGUGGUAUUCUGCAUAUGCAGCCAAGGAUUGAUGCUUGGUGUAUGGACUCCAAUUUGGAAUCUGUGUGAAAGGCUUCACUUGUACUUUGUGUCAACGGAAUAUGCAGAAGACAUCUUAAAUAACAAUACUGGAAUGUAUAUGUUUAUCAGAAACAUAUUCUUGUACCUUUUUAAAUUGAGCACAGCGCUUUUAAUAUCUUUCGAUAUUUUUCGAGGUCACCUGAACCUUAAUAAAACGGAAUCGGAACGUGUGGGUAACAGCGCUGCUAGGCGAUAUCGAAGGCAUUGAGGAUUAAACAUGUUGAUUAAUGUACUGCUCAACUGUUCAUACAUAAUUAAAGCUCUUCAAAUAUAGGAUAGAUUAGUGACAUCGAAUUCGUUAGAUAUGUGGCUAUCGGUUAAAUUACAUAACAUACCUCAAUCAUACUCUUUAUUCUGAUGAAUUAAAUCUUCAAAUGUUUUAAACUUGAA